rnacentral:rRNA from 1 species
CACCAAAGAGUUAAGUCAUAUAAUAACGGUAAAAAGACAGUUAGACAUAAUUUAUUUAAGGUUUACUAAGCUUUUAUAAAAAGGUAAAAUUUGUAUAUAAUUGUAUGUUUUAAUAAAAACCGAAAAGUUGAAUCUGUGACAGCCUGGAGGGAAACUGGGAUUAGAUACCCCAUUAUUCCUGGAUAUAAACUAAUUUAAAUUUACCAGAGUACUAUGAAUAUAUAAAAUUUAAAACUCAAAGGACUUGGCGGUAUUUUAGACCACUUAGGGGAACCUGUCUCAUAAUCGAUAAUCCACGUUACACCUAACCUUUUUUUGCUCUCAGCUUGUAUAUCGUUGUCGUCAGGUAACUUUUUAGAAAUCAGGAGUUAGCUAAAAACAGUAAAUUAAAACGUCAAAUCAAGGUGCAGUUAAUAAAAAGGGGAAGAUGGGUUACAAUUAUUUUAGUUAUAAUCACGGAAAAUUAUAAGAACUUUAUAGUUAAGAAGGAGGACUUAAAAGUAAAUUAAAUUAUAUAAAUAAUUUGAAUAAGGCUCUGAAAUGUGC